GGCCGAACGGUGCAUCAGAGGAUAAGCCGAACGGUAAGGCAAAGGGGAAGUGAGGCCGAACAAAAAGAAAGGGGGAAGCGAGGCCGAACGGUCUGAACAGUAAGGUUAGGGGGAAGCUAGGCCGAAUGGUGUAAUAGAGGAAAAGUAUACCGAACGGUAUCACAAUAAGGCAGGGGGAAGUUAAAAACCGAACGGUAUUUAGUAGAAGCAAUUUGGGUUAGCAGA
rnacentral:sRNA from 1 species